UACGUAGGGGCGAGCGUUGUCCGGAAUGACUGGGCGUAAAGGGCGUGUAGGCGGCCAAUUAAGUCUGGAGUGAAAGUCCUGUUUUUAAGGUGGGAAUUGCUUUGGAUACUGGUUGGCUUGAGUGCGGAAGAGGUAAGUGGAAUUCCCAGUGUAGCGGUGAAAUGCGUAGAGAUUGGGAGGAACACCAGUGGCGAAGGCGACUUUCUGGCCGUAACUGACGCUGAGGCGCGAAAGCGUGGGGAGCAAACAGGAUUAGAUACCCUGGUAGUCCCUGAGCGGG
rnacentral:rRNA from 1 species